CCUUGUACACACCGCCCGUCACACCAUGGAAGUUGGUUCUACCUUAAGACGGUGCGCCAACCGCAAGGAGGCAGCCGGCCACGGUAGGGUCGAUGACUGGGGUG
rnacentral:rRNA from 1 species